rnacentral:misc_RNA from 1 species
GCAUCGAUGAAGAACGCAGCGAAAUGCGAUACUUGGUGUGAAUUGCAGAAUCCCGUGAACCAUCGAGUCUUUGAACGCAAGUUGCGCCCGAAGCCUUCUGGCCGAGGGCACGUCUGCCUGGGCGUCACGCAUCGCGUCUCCCCCCAACCCACCAAGCGUGGGUUAUGGGGGAGGAGGAUGGCUUCCCGUGCCUCACCGGGCGCGGCUGGCCUAAAUAAGGAGCCUCAGGUCACGGACUGCUGCGGCGAUUGGUGAAUAAUCAACUCUAUCCGUGCAGUGCGUGGCCAUCGUGGACUCGUAGGACCCUGUGUUGUCCCCUUAUACGGACAAACCGUUGCGACCCCAGGUCAGGCGGGGCUACCCGCUGAGUUUAAGCAUAUCAAUAAGCGGAGGAU